GUGCUCACUUUGAGAGCAUAUAUACUAAAACUGGAAAGAUGCAAAGAAUAGCACAGCCUGUAGACAAUGAUGAAACAAAUUUGUGCAGGAUUCUGUAUUUUUUU
rnacentral:snRNA from 1 species